AUUGAACGCUGGCGGCAGGCCCAACACAUGCAAGUCGAGCGGUAGCACAGAGAGCUUGCUCUCGGGUGACGAGCGGCGGACGGGUGAGUAAUGUCUGGGAAACUGCCUGAUGGAGGGGGAUAACUACUGGAAACGGUAGCUAAUACCGCAUAACGUCGCAAGACCAAAGUGGGGGACCUUCGGGCCUCAUGCCAUCAGAUGUGCCCAGAUGGGAUGAGCUAGUAGGUGGGGUAACGGCUCACCUAGGCGACGAUCCCUAGCUGGUCUGAGAGGAUGACCAGCCACACUGGAACUGAGACACGGUCCAGACUCCUACGGGAGGCAGCAGUGGGGAAUAUUGCACAAUGGGCGCAAGCCUGAUGCAGCCAUGCCGCGUGUGUGAAGAAGGCCUUCGGGUUGUAAAGCACUUUCAGCGGGGAGGAAGGCGGUGAGGUUAAUAACCUCACCGAUUGACGUUACCCGCAGAAGAAGCACCGGCUAACUCCGUGCCAGCCGCCGCGGUAAGAC
rnacentral:rRNA from 1 species